AGUCCUAGCCGUAAACGAUGGGCACUAAGUAGAGGGAAUUACCUAUAUUCUCUCUGCCGUAGCUAACGCAUUAAGUGCCCCGCCUGGGGAGUACGGCCGCAAGGCUAAAACUCAAAAGAAUUGACGGGGGCUCGCACAAGCGGUGGAGCAUGUGGCUUAAUUCGAUGCAACGCGAAAAACCUUACCGGGGCUUGACAUGAUAGAAGUAGGAACCUGAAAGGGGGACGAACGGUAUCCAGUCCGUAGCUAUUACAGGUGUUGCAUGGCUGUCGUCAGCUCGUGUCGUGAGACGUUGGGUUAAGUCCCCUAACGAGCGAAACCCUUGUUUUUAGUUACCAGCGGGUUAUGCCGGGUACUCUAGAAAGACUGCCGUCGUCAAGACGGAGGAAGGUGGGGAUGACGUCAAGUCAUCAUGGCCCUUAUGCCCCGGGCUGCACACGUGCUACAAUGGUCGGUACAGACGGAAGCGAAGCCGAGAGGUGAAGCGAAUCCUAAAAAGCCGAUCUCAGUUCGGAUUGGAGGCUGAAAUUCGCCUCCAUGAAGUUGGAAUCGCUAGUAAUCGCGGAUCAGCAAUGUCGCGGUGAAUAUGUUCCCGAGCCUUGUACACACCGCCCGUCAAGCCACCCAAGCAGGAUGCACCCGAAAACAUUAUAUCUAACCAGGGCAACUUGGAGGAAAAUGUUGAAGGAGUGUUUUGUGAGGAGGACUAAGUCGUAACAAGGUAGUCGUAGGAGAACCUGCGGCUG
rnacentral:rRNA from 1 species